CACGUAGGGGCCGAGCGUUGUCCGGAGUUACUGGGCGUAAAGGGCGCGUAGGCGGUCAGCACAAGUCAGUUGUGAAAUCUCCGGGCUUAACUCGGAAAGGUCAACUGAUACUGUGCGACUAGAGUGCAGAAGGGGCAACUGGAAUUCUCGGUGUAGCGGUGAAAUGCGUAGAUAUCGAGAGGAACACCUGCGGCGAAGGCGGGUUGCUGGGCUGACACUGACGCUGAUGCGCGAAAGCCAGGGGAGCGAACGGG
rnacentral:rRNA from 1 species